GUGCUUGCUUUGGCAGCACAUAUACUAAAAUUGGAACGAUACAGAGAAGAUUAGCAUGGCCCCUGCACAAGGAUGACACGCGAAUUCAUGAAGCAUUCCAUAUUUUU
ensembl:snRNA U6 U6 spliceosomal RNA